GACGAACGCUGGCGGCGUGCUUAACACAUGCAAGUCGAACGGAAAGGCCCUGCUUUUGUGGGGUGCUCGAGUGGCGAACGGGUGAGUAACACGUGAGUAACCUGCCCUUGACUGUGGGAUAACUUCAGGAAACUGGGGCUAAUACCGGAUAGGAGCUCCUGCUGCAUGGUGGGGGUUGGAAAGUUUCGGCGGUUGGGGAUGGACUCGCGGCUUAUCAGCUUGUUGGUGGGGUAGUGGCUUACCAAGGCUUUGACGGGUAGCCGGCCUGAGAGGGUGACCGGCCACGUUGGGACUGAGAUACGGCCCAGACUCCUACGGGAGGCAGCAGUGCGGAAUGUUGCACAAUGGGCGGAAGCCUGGUGCAGCCCCGCCGCGUGCGGGAUGACAGCCUUCGGGUUGUAAUCCGCUUUCGCCUGUGACGAAGCGUUAGUGACGGUAAUGGGUAAAGAAGCACCGGCUAACUACGUG
rnacentral:rRNA from 1 species